UACGGUUUAGACUAUUCAUUUU
rnacentral:miRNA from 1 species